rnacentral:rRNA from 1 species
GAAUCUUCCACAAUGGACGAAAGUCUGAUGGAGCAAUGCCGCGUGAGUGUAGCAGGUUUUCGGAUCGUAAAACUCUGUUGUGAGGUAAGAAUAAGUACGAGAGUAACUGCUCGUCCCUUGAAGGUCCCUCAAUAGCAAGCCACGGCUAACUACGUGCCAGCAGCCGCGGUAAUACGUAGUUGGCAAGCGUUGUCCUGAAUUCUGGGGCGUAAAGCGCGCGCAGGCGGGCCUUUAAGUCUAAUAUGAAAUCCCACGGCUCAACCGUGGAAGGUCAUUGGAAACUGGGGGAGUUGAGUACAGAAGAGGAAAGCGGAAUUCCAAGUGUAGCGGAGAAAUGCGUAGAGAUUUGGAGGAAAACCAGUGGCGAAGGCGGCUUUCUGGUCUGUAACUGACGCUGAGGCGCGAAAGCGUGGGGAGCAAACA